GAUGAACGCUGGCGGCGUGCCUAAUACAUGCAAGUCGAGCGAACAGACGAGGAGCUUGCUCCUCUGACGUUAGCGGCGGACGGGUGAGUAACACGUGGAUAACCUACCUAUAAGACUGGGAUAACUUCGGGAAACCGGAGCUAAUACCGGAUAAUAUAUUGAACCGCAUGGUUCAAUAGUGAAAGACGGUUUUGCUGUCACUUAUAGAUGGAUCCGCGCCGCAUUAGCUAGUUGGUAAGGUAACGGCUUACCAAGGCAACGAUGCGUAGCCGACCUGAGAGGGUGAUCGGCCACACUGGAACUGAGACACGGUCCAGACUCCUACGGGAGGCAGCAGUAGGGAAUCUUCCGCAAUGGGCGAAAGCCUGACGGAGCAACGCCGCGUGAGUGAUGAAGGUCUUCGGAUCGUAAAGCUCUGUUAUUGGGAAAGAACAAAUGUGUAAGUAACUAUGCACGUCUUGACGGUACCUAAUCAAAAAGCCACGGCUAACUACGUG
rnacentral:rRNA from 1 species